rnacentral:rRNA from 1 species
UACGAAGGGGGCUAGCGUUGCUCGGAAUUACUGGGCGUAAAGGGCGCGUAGGCGGGUCGUCAAGUUGGGGGUGAAAGCCCGGGGCUCAACCUCGGAAUUGCCUUCAAAACUGACGACCUAGAGUUUGGGAGAGGUGUGUGGAACUCCGAGUGUAGAGGUGAAAUUCGUAGAUAUUCGGAAGAACACCAGUGGCGAAGGCGACACACUGGCCCAAUACUGACGCUGAGGCGCGAAAGCGUGGGGAGCAAACAGG